GAUGAAGAACGCAGCGAAAUGCGAUAAGUAAUGUGAAUUGCAGAAUUCAGUGAAUCAUCGAAUCUUUGAACGCACAUUGCGCCCGCCAGUAUUCUGGCGGGCAUGCCUGUUCGAGCGUCAUUUCAACCAUCAAGCCCCCCCGGCUUGUGUUGGGGACCUGCGGCUGCCGCAGGCCCUGAAAAGCAGUGGCGGGCUCGCUGUCACACCGAGCGUAGUAGAUCUCAUCUCGAUCAGGGCGUGCUGCGGGUUCCGGCCGUUAAACCACCUUCAUAACCCAAGGUUGACCUCGGAUCAGGUAGGAAGACCCGCUGAACUUAAGCAUAUCAAUAAGCGGAGGA
rnacentral:misc_RNA from 1 species